AACUCGGCAAAUUGCCCCCGUAACUUCGGGAGAAGGGGGGCCUCCGCUGGUGAUCAGACUUGCUUUGUGAGCUGGUGGGGGUCGCAGAGGCCAGGGGGAAGCGACUGUUUACUAAAAACACAGGUCCGUGCGAAGUCGUAAGACGAUGUAUACGGACUGACGCCUGCCCGGUGCUGGAACGUUAAGGGGACCGGUUAGCGGGACGUAAGUCCUGCGAGGCUGAGAACUUAAGCGCCAGUAAACGGCGGUGGUAACUAUAACCAUCCUAAGGUAGCGAAAUUCCUUGUCGGGUAAGUUCCGACCUGCACGAAUGGCGUAACGACUUCCCCGCUGUCUCAACCGCAGACCCGGCGAAAUUGCACUACGAGUAAAGAUGCUCGUUACGCGCAGCAGGACGGAAAGACCCCGGGACCUUCACUACAUCUUGACAUUGGCGUUUGGAACGUCUUGUGUAGGAUAGGUGGGAGACUGUGAAGCCGUCACGCUAGUGGUGGUGGAGUCAUUGGUGAAAUACCACUCUGGUCGUUUUGAACGUCUAACUUCGGUCCGUGAUCCGGAUCAGGGACAGUGUCUGGUGGGUAGUUUAACUGGGGCGUUUGCCUCCUAAAGAGUAACGGAGGCGCCCAAAGGUUCCCUCAGCCUGGUUAGUAAUCAGGUGUCGAGUGUAAGUGCACAAGGGAGCUUGACUGUGAGACCUACGGGUCGAGCAGGAGCGAAAGCUGGGACUAGUGAUCCGGCGGUGGCAUGUGGAAGCGCCGUCGCUCAACGGCUAAAAGGUACCCCGGGGAUAACAGGCUGAUCUUCCCCAAGAGUCCAUAUCGACGGGAUGGUUUGGCACCUCGAUGUCGGCUCGUCGCAUCCUGGGGCUGGAGUAGGUCCCAAGGGUUGGGCUGUUCGCCCAUUAAAGCGGUACGCGAGCUGGGUUUAGAACGUCGCGAGACAGUUCGGUCCCUAUCCGCUGCGCGCGCAGGAGACUUGAAAGGAGCUGUCCCUAGUACGAGAGGACCGGGACGGACGAACCUCUGGUGUGCCAGUUGUUCCGCCAGGAGCAUGGCUGGUUGGCUACGUUCGGAAGGGAUAACCGCUGAAAGCAUCUAAGCGGGAAGCUCGCCUUGAGAUGAGGUCUCCCACCACGUGAGUGGGUAAGGCCCCCGGGAGACGACCGGGUUGAUAGGCCGGAGGUGGAAGCACGGUAACGUGUGGAGCUGACCGGUACUAAUAGGCCGAGGACUUGACCAC
rnacentral:rRNA from 1 species